rnacentral:rRNA from 1 species
UUAGUGGCGAACGGGUGAGUAAUAUAUCGGAACGUACCUUGUAAUGGGGGAUAACUAGUCGAAAGAUUAGCUAAUACCGCAUACGCCCUGAGGGGGAAAGUAGGGGAUCUUCGGACCUUACGUUAUAAGAGCGGCCGAUAUCUGAUUAGCUAGUUGGUGGGGUAAGAGCCUACCAAGGCGACGAUCAGUAGCUGGUCUGAGAGGACGACCAGCCACACUGGAACUGAGACACGGUCCAGACUCCUACGGGAGGCAGCAGUGGGGAAUUUUGGACAAUGGGCGAAAGCCUGAUCCAGCCAUUCCGCGUGAGUGAAGAAGGCCUUCGGGUUGUAAAGCUCUUUCGCAAGGGAAGAAAACUUACAUUCUAAUAAAGUGUGAGGCUGACGGUACCUUGAUAAGAAGCACCGGCUAACUACGUGCCAGCAGCCGCGGUAAUACGUAGGGUGCGAGCGUUAAUCGGAAUUACUGGGCGUAAAGCGUGCGCAGGCGGUUUUGUAAGUCAGAUGUGAAAUCCCCGAGCUCAACUUGGGAACUGCGUUUGAAACUACAAGACUAGAAUAUGUCAGAGGGGGGUAGAAUUCCACGUGUAGCAGUGAAAUGCGUAGAGAUGUGGAGGAAUACCAAUGGCGAAGGCAGCCCCCUGGGAUAAUAUUGACGCUCAUGCACGAAAGCGUGGGGAGCAAACAGGAUUAGAUACCCUGGUAGUCCACGCCCUAAACGAUGUCUACUAGUUGUUGGUGGAGUAAAAUCCAUGAGUAACGCAGCUAACGCGUGAAGUAGACCGCC